rnacentral:rRNA from 1 species
UCUGUGAGACUAGGCUUGCGACAAGUAGGGCGGGACACGAGAAAUCCUGUCUGAAGAUGGGGGGACCAUCCUCCAAGGCUAAAUACUCGUGAUCGACCGAUAGUGAACCAGUACUGUGAAGGAAAGGUAAAAAGAACCCCGGGAGGGGAGUGAAAUAGAUCCUGAAACCGCAUACAUACAAACAGUAGGAGCCCGCAAGGGUGACUGCGUACCUUUUGCAUAAUGGGUCAGCGACUUACGUUCAAUGGCGAGCUUAACCGGAUAGGGGAGGCGCAGCGAAAGCGAGUCCGAACAGGGCGAAAUUCAGUCGUUGGGCGUAGACCCGAAACCAGAUGAUCUAUCCAUGGUCAGGCUGAAGGUGUGGUAACACACACUGGAGGGCCGAACCGACUAGUGUUGCAAAAUUAGCGGAUGAACUGUGGAUAGGGGUGAAAGGCUAAACAAAUCUGGAGAUAGCUGGUUCUCCCCGAAAACUAUUGAGGUAGUGCCUCGUGUAUGGCUCCAGGGGGUAGAGCACUGUUAUGGCUAGGGGGACAUGGCGUCUUACCAAACCAUGGCAAACUCCGAAUACUUGGAAGUCAGAGCACGGGAGACAGAGCACCGGGU